ensembl:lncRNA
AAUAAGAGCUCAGAGAAAGGAGGAGGAAGGGGGAAUUUAGGUGCAAUCCAGCAACACGAAGAUCAACUCUCUCAUCUCCUGGAACUGAAGUAUCAUCCCUCCCAUACAGAAAGACUGCUUCUCAUCUUUCCUGGAGCCAGCAGCUGGAAGUGUGGAAUACAGACACUACAGCAUUGAAUUUACAUGUUAAACAGGAAUACAUGUCCCCUGGGAUCUGCACAACCAUAUCAAAGGAGGAAGACUGAGAUCAAGGCCUGAAUUUUAUACCGUUAACACCAUGGACUUCAUUCGUCCUCUCAAGUUAUACCUUGCAUGCUAAAGGCCACAUUGCCAUAAACAGGGCAAUGGCUGGGUACACUGGUGGGACAGGCACUGUAUAGGCUAGGUGCCAAAUCUCAUUCUUAUGCAGUCUGAGUACAGCAGUCUCUUUCAUCUUCGUCUCUAACUUCUGUUUGCUCAAUGAAAGCAGCACGUAGGCAAAUAACGUUUUGCAUUUUAAAAGAGUUUUAAUUUGUAGCUGUUUUCAAAGUACACACCAAGGCUAAUGAAUAGUCACUCCAUUCUCUAGGAUACACAGGAACAACUGACUAAAAUUAGCAUUAAUUAGCUGAAUUACAGUAGCACCAAGAGGUUUACACUGAGCUUGAGGUUUUGUUGUGGUAGAUGUGGGAUGAGCAUACUGUGUGAAGUUGGUAUAACCGCCCUUGUAACGUAAGGGAGAGGUGUCCAGUAAGUGACUUCAUUCUUGAGAUGCUGCAGUUGAAAUUGUAGACCUACUGGAGAGCUGUAGUGGGUCCUCAUUGCUCCUAGGUUCACUAUGGAUUCCAUUUGACUGUUACUUCAACUCCAUCUCCCACCUGUUUAUUUGUUUUUACUCACCUCGCUGUUCUCACCUACAGCAUGGUCGCAUGAAUUACACCAAUCUGGAGUACACUACAGUGGAGGAGGGCUAGGAGAGAGAGCUAAGAGCCAGAGGGAACCACUUCAUCAAACUUUCCUGAAAUAGACAUAUUUAAAUACUAUCCCUUCCAUAACAGGAACAUUGCGCUCUGUCCCAAGGGCAGGAGUGGUUUGUUUCAGCUAGAAAUGGCAAUGGGUGGGAUGCAGAGAAGGAAUGAAGUGACUUGUUUCAGGGCACUUUCAUCUGUGAAAAAAAGAUGGUUCAAAUUCCUCAUGUGCUACCCACUGACCAUAUGCCAGUGACUCGAUGAGCUCUCACCAGAGAGGCAGUUUAAAAACUCGGUGCAUUUUUGCUGUCGCUUUGAUUGGUAAAGGCAGAAAGCCUGGAAAAAUAGUCCUUGCAACUCUACCUCUGCUUAGUUCAUUGUGUGAAGAAUAAUGACUGAGAUUUUUGCAAUAGGCAGCACAGUAAAUUUGGUAAAAGCUCCUCAGUGUGUACAGAGUUCCUUUGCUGUUGCUUUUGGUCACAUAAAUGUUGAUGAACAUUUAAUGGGACCUGAGUGUGAAUGAAAAGUGACAGAUCUGCAAUUCUGAAUUGCUCUGUUGCAGUGCUCUGUUCUUCCAAACUGAAGUUCACAGACACCAUCCUCCUUGCAGACUUGUACCUCGAACCUGUUACACAAGACUGAUUUGUCCCAGUUUUCUUCUUGACCUACUAGGUAUGCCCUUUGCCCAGAGAAACUUUUUGCUGGGUUUGGUGGUUAUUUCCAGGCCUCAACACAGCUUAAAAGCUGAUGGAGAAAGCCAAUUGGAUUUACACAGACCCUCCCACUACUAAUGGAUGUUAAUUAAAAUGGGACAACGUCUUGCUUAGAU